rnacentral:rRNA from 1 species
ACGGGAGGCAGCGGCUAAGAAUAUUCCGCAAUGGACGAAAGUCUGACGGAGCGACGCCGCGUGGAUGAUGAAGGCCGGAAGGUUGUAAAAUCCUUUUAUAACUGGGGAAUAAGCAGUGUGAGAGAAACGCAUUGUGGUGACUGUAGGUUAUGAAUAAGCAACGGCUAAUUACGUGCCAGCAGCCGCGGUAACACGUAUGUUGCGAGCGUUGUUCGGAAUUAUUGGGCGUAAAGGGCAUGUAGGCGGUUUUGCAAGCUUGAUGUGAAAUUCCGGAGCUCAACUCCGGAACUGCGUUGAGAACUGCAUAACUAGAGUCACUGAGGGGCAAUCAGAAUUCCUGGUGUAGGGGUGAAAUCUGUAGAUAUCAGGAAGAAUACCAAUGGCGAAGGCAGGUUACCAGCAGAUGACUGACGCUGAGGUGCGAAGGUGCGGGGAGCAAACAGGAUUAGAUACCCUGGUA